rnacentral:rRNA from 1 species
AUUGAACGCUGGCGGCAGGCCUAACACAUGCAAGUCGAACGAGUGGCGGACGGGUGAGUAAUGUAUGGGAAACUGCCUGAUGGAGGGGGAUAACUACUGGAAACGGUAGCUAAUACCGCAUACCAUCAGAUGUGCCCAGAUGGGAUUAGCUAGUUGGUGGGGUAAAGGCUCACCAAGGCGACGAUCCCUAGCUGGUCUGAGAGGAUGACCAGUCACACGGGAACUGAGACACGGUCCAUACUCCUACGGGAGGCAGCAGUGGGGAAUAUUGGACAAUGGGCGAAAGCCUGAUGCAGCCAUGCCGCGUGUAUGAAGAAGGUCUUCGGGUUGUAAAGUACUUUCAGCGGGGAGGCGUUACCCGCAGAAGAAGCACCGGCUAACUCCGUGCCAGCAGCCGCGGUAAUAC